rnacentral:sRNA from 1 species
UACAGGUACUGAAGUCGGAAGAGCUAUAC